rnacentral:rRNA from 1 species
UACGUAGGGGGCGAGCGUUGUCCGGAUUUAUUGGGCGUAAAGAGCUCGUAGGCGGUUCGAUAAGUCGGACGUGAAAUCUCCACGCUCAACGUGGAGGGGCCGUUCGAUACUGUCGUGACUCGAGUCCGGUAGGGGAGUGUGGAAUUCCCGGUGUAGCGGUGAAAUGCGCAGAGAUCGGGAGGAACACCCGUAGCGAAGGCGGCACUCUGGGCCG